rnacentral:rRNA from 1 species
UUUGACCGUGCGAAGGUAGCAUAGUCAGUAGUCUUUUAAUUGGAGGCUUGUAUGAAUGGUUGGACGAGGGACAAGCUGUCUCUUUUACGUAGUUUGAAUUUAACUUUUAAGUGAAAAGGCUUAAAUUAUUUAGUGGGACGAUAAGACCCUAUAAAACUUUAUACAGGUUGGGUUAAAUUUGUGAUUUAGGUGAAAAGUAGUUUUAUUUGACUUGUAUUUUGUUGGGGCGACAUAGAUAUAAUAUGUAACUGUCUAUUAAAUUUAAUAGUGUUAAUUAGUUUUUGAUCCUUCUUUGUGGAUUAAAAGAAUAAGUUACUUUAGGGAUAACAGCGUGAUUUUCCUUGAGAGUUA